UUGAACGCUGGCGGCAUGCCUUACCCAUGCAAGUCGAACGGCAGCACGGGUGCUUGCCCCUGGUGGCGAGUGGCGAACGGGUGAGUAAUACAUCGGAACAUGUCCUGUAGUGGGGGAUAGCCCGGCGAAAGCCGGAUUAAUACCGCAUACGAUCUACGGGUGAAAGCGGGGGACCUUCGGGCCUCGCGCUAUAGGGUUGGCCGAUAGCUGAUUAGCUAGUUGGUGGGGUAAAGGCCUACCAAGGCGACGAUCAGUAGCUGGUCUGAGAGGACGACCAGCCACACUGGGACUGAGACACGGCCCAGACUCCUACGGGAGGCAGCAGUGGGGAAUUUUGGACAAUGGGCGAAAGCCUGAUCCAGCAAUGCCGCGUGUGUGAAGAAGGCCUUCGGGUUGUAAAGCACUUUUGUCCGGAAAGAAAUCCUUGGCUCUAAUACAGUCGGGGGAUGACGGUACCGGAAGAAUAAGCACCGGCUAACUACGUG
rnacentral:rRNA from 1 species